UCGGCAAUGGGCGAAAGCCUGACCGAGCGAUGCCGCGUGCGGGAUGAAGGUCUUCGGAUUGUAAACCGCUGUCGGAGGGGAUGAAGUGUAUGGGAGCAAUCUCCUGUAUUUGACAGAGCCUCGGAGGAAGCACGGGCUAAGUUCGUGCCAGCAGCCGCGGUAAUACGAACUGUGCAAACGUUAUUCGGAAUCACUGGGCUUACAGGGUGCGUAGGCGGCAUUUUAAGUCAGGUGUGAAGUCCCCCGGCUCAACCGGGGAACUGCGCCUGAGACUGGAUUGCUCGAGUGAGGCAGGGGUGUACGGAACUUCCGGUGGAGCGGUGAAAUGUGUAGAUAUCGGAAGGAACGCCAGCAGCGAAAGCGGUACACUGGGCCUUGUCUGACGCUGAGGCACGAAAGCCAGGGUAGCGAACGGGAUUAGAUACCCCGGUAGUCCUGGCCGUAAACACUGAACACUGGAGGGGAGGGGGUUCGCCCUUUUCCUUCGUAGCGAAAGCGUUAAGUGUUCCGCCUGGGGAGUAUGGUCGCAAGGCUGAAACUCAAAGG
rnacentral:rRNA from 1 species